GAGUUUGAUCGUGGCUCAGGAUGAACGCUGGCGGCGUGCCUAACACAUGCAAGUCGAACGAAGCAAUCGGGAUGAAGUUUUCGGAUGGAUUCCUGGUUGACUGAGUGGCGGACGGGUGAGUAACGCGUGGAUAACCUGCCUCACACUGGGGGAUAACAGUUAGAAAUGGCUGCUAAUACCGCAUAAGCGCACAGUACCGCAUGGUACGGUGUGAAAAACCCAGGUGGUGUGAGAUGGAUCCGCGUCUGAUUAGCCAGUUGGCGGGGUAACGGCCCACCAAAGCGACGAUCAGUAGCCGACCUGAGAGGGUGACCGGCCACAUUGGGACUGAGACACGGCCCAAACUCCUACGGGAGGCAGCAGUGGGGAAUAUUGCACAAUGGGCGAAAGCCUGAUGCAGCGACGCCGCGUGAGUGAAGAAGUAUCUCGGUAUGUAAAGCUCUAUCAGCAGGGAGGAAAAUGACGGUACCUGACUAAGAA
rnacentral:rRNA from 1 species